AAAAUUCUAAGGAAGAAAUCGGCGCAGGCCGAUUUCAACAAGAUUUCACAUCCCAAUUCUCACUCGCACUUCGCAAAUUAGUGGCGGACGGGUGAGUAACGCGUGGAUGACCUACCUAUACUGUGGGGGAUAACAGUUGGAAACGACUGCUAAUACCGCAUGUGAUCACAAUUAUAAAGGUUGUGAGGAAAGAUGGCCUCUGUUUACAAGCUGUCGCAUAUAGAUGGGGUCCGCGUCUGAUUAGCUAGUUGGUAGGGUAAAGGCCUACCAAGGCGACGAUCAGUAGCCGGCCUGAGAGGGUGGACGGCCACACUGGGACUGAGACACGGCCCAGACUCCUACGGGAGGCAGCAGUGGGGAAUAUUGCGCAAUGGGGGAAACCCUGACGCAGCGACGCCGCGUGAGCGAAGAAGGCCUUAGGGUUGUAAAGCUCUGUUGUAAGGGAAGAAAGGCAACCGGAGUAAUAUGCUGGUUGUAUGACGGUACCUUACGAGGAAGCCCCGGCUAACUACGUG
rnacentral:rRNA from 1 species